rnacentral:rRNA from 1 species
AUAGCGAUAAGGCAUCUUAUUGCUAUUAAAGAAUUUCGGUGUUUGAUGGGGAUGCGUUCCAUUAGAUUGUUGGUGAGGUAACGGCUCACCAAGUCUUCGAUGGAUAGGGGUUCUGAGAGGAAGGUCCCCCACAUUGGAACUGAGACACGGUCCAAACUCCUACGGGAGGCAGCAGUGAGGAAUAUUGGUCAAUGGACGAGAGUCUGAACCAGCCAAGUAGCGUGAAGGAUGAAGGCCCUAUGGGUCGUAAACUUCUUUUAUAGGGGAAUAAAGUGCGGAACGUGUUCCGCUUUGUAUGUACCCUACGAAUAAGGAUCGGCUAACUCCGUGCCAGCAGCCGCGGUAAUACGGAGGAUCCGAGCGUUAUCCGGAUUUAUUGGGUUUAAAGGGAGCGUAGGUGGACGUAUAAGUCAGUUGUGAAAGUUUGCGGCUCAACCGUAAAAUUGCAGUUGAUACUGUAUGUCUUGAGUGUACAAGAGGUGGGCGGAAUUCGUGGUGUAGCGGUGAAAUGCUUAGAUAUCACGAAGAACUCCGAUUG